UACGAAGGGGGCUAGCGUUGCUCGGAAUCACUGGGCGUAAAGGGUGCGUAGGCGGGUCCUUAAGUCAGGGGUGAAAUCCUGGAGCUCAACUCCAGAACUGCCUUUGAUACUGAGGAUCUUGAGUUCGGGAGAGGUGAGUGGAACUGCGAGUGUAGAGGUGAAAUUCGUAGAUAUUCGCAAGAACACCAGUGGCGAAGGCGGCUCACUGGCCCGUUACUGACGCUGAGGCACGAAAGCGUGGGGAGCAAACAGGG
rnacentral:rRNA from 1 species